rnacentral:rRNA from 1 species
UACGGAGGGUGCAAGCGUUAAUCGGAUUUACUGGGCGUAAAGCGCACGUAGGUGGUUUGUUAAGUCGGAUGUGAAAUCCCCGGGCUCAACCUGGGAGCGGCAUUCGAUACUGGCAAACUGGAGUACGAGAGAGGGGGGUGGAAUUCCAGGUGUAGCGGUGAAAUGCGUAGAUAUCUGGAGGAACACCGGUGGCGAAGGCGGCCCCCUGGCUCGAUACUGACACUGAGGUGCGAAAGCGUGGGGAGCAAACAGG